rnacentral:lncRNA from 1 species
CUGGCAGCUCCUCCUUCUCGCCGGCCUUAGCAAAUGCUGCUUCUCCAAGAAAAAAAGAUUAAAAAAAAAAAGAGAAAGAAACAGAAACCGUGCAACGCCGAAAGCAAGCGGCGGGGGGGGGCCUUUUCUGUCAGGAUGCGGGAGCUGUUGCGUGGCCCCGGGGCGGCUGAGCUGCGCCGUGAGGGGAGAGCUCUGAAGAGGAACCCCGAAAGCCGGAGUCUGCCCCAGUGCCCGCCCUGCCCCGGCUGCAUCGCGCUCGUACGGCAGCCGCUGCUCGGGCCUGAGCCGUCCCUCGCUGCUAUGAGAGCAGCUCCCCCAGGUGUACAAAGCGGGGCUUAUAUGGGCCAAAAUUACCGGUUAACCGAAGGCGAAUCUUUUUUUCAAUUUCAAUUACUUCCCAUUAAACCAAAAGAAGAAGAAAGGAUUUGAAAUGAGGGGUGUGGUUGAUGGUACAGGCCCCUUUAAAGGACUACAAAGCAUCCCAGCAGGUCCAGCAGUCGCGAUGCCCGCCCAUGUUUUCAUGCACCAGGUCCUCCAUCCACACUUGAACUCUGCUAUCUUCCAAAUACUUCAUCUCAUUUCACCUCCAGUUGAAGCAGAUCCAACAGCUCAGUGAGAUGAUCCAAUACAUUGCACUACUAUGUCAGCAAACAGGAGCUGUUCAAUUCAGGAUCUAAUAAAUGGCUACUGAUUUAUCAGGCUGUUGCUCUAUGAUGAAAUCAAACUCUUGCCUAUAGGCCAUCAUUUUAGCGAAACUGUUGUGUUUUUAC